rnacentral:rRNA from 1 species
AAUGAACGCUGGCGGCGUGCUUAACACAUGCAAGUCGAACGGUAAGGCCCUUCGGGGUACACGAGUGGCGAACGGGUGAGUAACACGUGGGUGAUCUGCCCUGCACUUCGGGAUAAGCCUGGGAAACUGGGUCUAAUACCGGAUAGGACCUCGCACUUCACGGUGUGUGGUGGAAAGCUUUUGCGGUGUGGGAUGGGCCCGCGGCCUACCGGCGUGUUGGGGGGUGAAUGGCCUACCAAGGCGACGACGGGUCGCCGGCCUGGUGGGGGGACCGGCGACACUGGGACGGAGGGACGGCCCAGACUCCUACGGGAGGCAGCAGUGGGGAAUAUUGCACAAUGGGCGCAAGACUGAUGCAGCGACGCCGCGUGAGGGAUGACGGCCUGCGGGUUGUAAACCUCUUUCAGUAGGGACGAAGCGCAAGUGACGGUACCUACAGAAGAAGGACCGGCCAACUACGUGCCAGCCGCCGCGGUAA